rnacentral:rRNA from 1 species
CGAAUGGCUCAUUAAAUCAGUUAUGAUCUACGUGACAUAUUCUUUACUACUUGGAUAACCGUGGUAAUUCUAGAGCUAAUACAUGCAAAAAAACGAAUGGGUGCACUUAUUAGAUAAAGCCAACGCUGGGUAAAACCAGUUUCCCUUGGUGAUUCAUAAUAAUUAAGCGGAUCGCAUGGCCUUGGCUAGCGUACAGUCCACUCGAUUUUCUGCCCUAUCAUGGUUGAGAUUUGUAAGAUAGAGGCUUACAAUGCCUACAACGGGUAACCGGGGAAUUAGGGUUCGAUUCCGGAGAGGGAGCCUGAGAAACGGCUACCACAUCCAAGGAAGGCAGCAGGCCGCAAAUUACCCAAUCCCGACACGGGGAGGUAGUGACAAUAAAUAACAAUGCAGGGCCUUUAAGUGUCUUGCAAUUGGAAUGAGUACAAUUUAAAUCCCUUAACGAGGAUCAAUUGGAGGGCAAGUCUGGUGCCAAGCAGCCGCGGUAAUUCCAGCUCCAAUAGUUUAUAUUAAAGUUGUUGCAGUUAAAACGUCCGUAGUCAAAUGUUUAGUCUUUAGAUGACGGUGGCCUGGUCUUUCAUUGAUCAAGCUCGCUUUUAUCGAGACUUUUUUUCUGGUUAUGCUAUGAAUAGCUUCGGUUGUUUAUAGUCUCUAGCCAGAUGAUUACCAUGAGCAAAUAGAGUGUUUAAAGCAGGCUUUCAAGCUUGAAUGUGUUAGCAUGGAAAAUGAAAUAUGACUUUAGUCCCUAUUUCGUUGGUUCAGGAACUUAAGUAAUGAUGAAUAGAAACGGUUGGGGACAUUUGUAUUUGGUCGCUAGAGGUGAAAUUCUUGGAUUGACCGAAGACAAACU